UGGGGAAUAUUGCACAAUGGGCGAAAGCCUGAUGCAGCAACGCCGCGUGAGCGAUGAAGGCCUUUGGGUCGUAAAGCUCUGUCCUAGGGGAAGAAUAAAUGACGGUACCCUUGGAGGAAGCCCCGGCUAACUACGUGCCAGCAGCCGCGGUAAUACGUAGGGGGCAAGCGUUAUCCGGAAUUAUUGGGCGUAAAGAGUGCGUAGGUGGUUUUGUAAGCGCGGGGUGAAAGGCAAUAGCUCAACUAUUGUAAGCCCUGCGAACUGUGAGACUUGAGUGCAGGGGAGGAAAGCGGAAUUCCUAGUGUAGCGGUGAAAUGCGUAGAUAUUAGGAGGAACACCAGUGGCGAAGGCGGCUUUCUGGACUGUAACUGACACUGAGGCACGAAAGCGUGGGGAGCAAAC
rnacentral:rRNA from 1 species